GAUGAAGAACGUAGCGAAAUGCGAUAAGUAAUGUGAAUUGCAGAAUUCAGUGAAUCAUCGAAUCUUUGAACGCAAAUUGCGCCCUCUGGUAUUCCGGGGGGCAUGCCUGUUCGAGCGUCAUUAUAACCACUCAAGCUCUCGCUUGGUAUUGGGGUUCGCGGUUCCGCGGCCCCUAAAAUCAGUGGCGGUGCCUGUCGGCUCUACGCGUAGUAAUACUCCUCGCGAUUGAGUCCGGUAGGUCUACUUGCCAGCAACCCCCAAUUUUUACAGGUUGACCUCGGAUCAGGUAGGGAUACCCGCUGAACUUAAGCAUAUCAAUAAGCGGAGGA
rnacentral:misc_RNA from 1 species